rnacentral:lncRNA from 1 species
GAAUUCUGACAGGAAAAAAUAUUUUAAUGAGAUGAAUAUUCAGAGUUUAGAAAGGUGAGUUUAGAACUGAGAAGGCCGGGAUUGUUACUUGUCCUGGACUUCUGACCGCAGAGGGAUUUUCAGUUCUUUGUCUUCUCAAGCACAGGAGGAAGGGUCCAGAGAAGGGCCUGGACAGCAGGUGUGCUCAGGCUAGAGGCCAGGUCACUGUUUGCAAACUGCAGGAAGCCACCUAUUUGGGGAUUUCUCAUCUAGUUACACUGCAGGGAGAUAGGACAAAGCGUGACUUUCUGGGACUCAGAAAUGGAUGUACCAACCAGGCAAAUUAAAGCUGGUGGUGGGGUUGGUGGGGGAUGCAUGUACUUCCGGAAGCAGUCGGGUGACACCCAGAGGGGCUGUGUUGAAAUUGACCCACAUCCACCCAACCGCAGAAAGGACCGCCUCUCACCCUUUCCCAAGGGAAAGCACUCAGGGAAGGGACAGAGAGUGUGGAAAGAGUGAGAGCUAGGGAAGCACUAGGUGAGUUGCCUUCAGGCCUGGCUGUAAACUGAGAGUGAAUCUGAGACCCCGCACACUUGGACACACACCUCAUGUUCCAAAGUACAAAGGGAUGUCCUAGAAUUGGGGGUUUGGCCCCCAUGUCAUACAUUUUUAAUCUUUUUACCAAAGUGAUUUGUUAAAUAUUUUGCAUGGUGAAGCUAGGUUAUUACUGCUUUGUAAGACUUUUCAGCCAAGAAAGCCCACAAAUCAGAGAAAAUCCUGCCAAACCCAGUGCUGAAAUUUCUGCUUCACGAAGUUCAGUUACCAGAUCUGGAAACUGGAAAUAGGACCUGCCCCAGGCAAAAUUCUGAAGUAAACAUAGUUUGCUUUUUAAGUCAUGCGCCCGGCCUUUCUUUUCCUUGCUUUCCUGAUCAUUCUGACCCCUGAGAAUCCCAGCCUCAUGGCAGGCUCUCUGACACAGGUGUUUGAGGUCAUCCAGGGUUUCCUCUUGGUUUUAAAAUUGGGGUGUUGGAUGUAAGCCCUAUUUCUAACAAUAGAAGGAUGUUUUGCUCUAUGGAGAAAGUGGUGGAAGAAACUGGGGGCCAAAAGGUCCACAGCCCCACGAGAAAUCAUGACCCAGAAUGAGCACCCGUUCCAGCAACAGCUGGGAAGGUCCUGAGAACCCUGGCUGGAGGAAGACUUGUUUGAAGCUGGAACCUUCAGCUAGAAAUAGAGCACACCCCUUGCUUGAUUCUUGAGUUUAGUCUCAGAGUGGUCUAGGAAACCUUCUUUUCUUUUUUUUUUUUUUUUUGCCAGACUUUCAGUGUCUGCCUCUGUGACUUGGAGCUGGUCGUCAUUAAGAGAGGAAGAGAGUUAUCAGUGAGAGGUGUUCAUUCUAUUCUUUGCAUCCACUCCAGAGCAGCACCAUGUGAUAAGCCAGAUGGGGACUAUGUGCAUGUGCCCACAAUAAUGGAUUGACAUUUGAAAGCCACUGCUCAGAAUGAAGUAAUCUCCGAUGUCUUAGAUAGAGGAAGGAAGGCCUGUGGAUGCAGCCUAGGUGACUGAGUCCAGUUACCCAGGAUCCGUUCAUCAGAAAGCCUCUAAACUGCUCCAGAGAGGCUGCAACAACCUAACUCAUGCUAGAUGAUGAAAAUGCACUUCGAGAUUACUAAACAAACCAACAAACAAACAGCCAUGCCCUUGGAGAAACGAAACAAUCUCUCAAACAUAGACAUACCUCAGGCCAGGGGUCAACUUGUACAUUAAAGUGUUUGAUACUUUUUAUGAGCAAAGAUGUUUAGUGGAUGUUGCUCCCAAGAAAGUUUUCAAGAAGACCCUAAAGAUUAUCUAAGUGGGCAGAAAUUAUAGGUGACACCUGUUUUUUUCUUGACAAAGCAAUAGAGUAAAGUAGGAAAGAACUGGUGGUUCUUUUCUACAGAGAGAUUAAAGUUAAAGCACAGAGGUUAAAGUUAAAGCAAUUUGGCACCCACAGGAAGACACUUACAGACAAGAUGUUCUCUGGCACAGACUUCAUUGUUGGUGAAAUUAUAAGAUUACACAAAGAGCAAUACUAUUCUUUCCUAUAGUGGUUGCUUCUUAUUAAUAUAUAUGUAUAUAACACAUAGUACCUGAAGUUUUGUGAUGACUGGUUAGUAAGUUUUCAAAAUUCAGAUUAAUCUAUUCUUAACAAUAUGGACACUGAUAGCCUAUUAGCAAGCCAUUUAUUUGGAAUUUAUAAUCAUGGAAUUUUCGUACUACAUUAAGAAUCUCCAUGGGUGAUAAUAGAGCACUAAAAUAGCUAGCAUUGCACUGAUGUUUCUCACUCUCUACAUUUGUUUAAUUCCUCUGCCAGAGACACUUACUUAACUUGUCUUGGUGGAUUUUUGUAAUGUGUCUUUCAAAUGGAAAAACCGUAUUCAAGCAUUCCAGUUUUAUCAAGUAGCAAAAACACCCAGGCUGUUGGCCAGAAUUUGCAUGUUUGUUACUGCAGUACAUACCCAGAUAUCUCAGGCAGAGGAAUAAUAACAAUUUUCCACAAUGUCAUUGGAUCCAUAAUUCUGGCAGUAGGUUAAUUCACUUAGCCACUUCCAUUAAAGCAAUAAUUAUUGGCAUAUAAUCUUAGAAAUCACCAUGCAUUGCGGUGUUCAAUUCCAGUUGAAAUAGAAUUUUUAGUUCAAUAAAUGUUUGCUAAGUACCUACUAUGUGUACUGCUGUAUUAUUUCUUACCUUUGUCCAGCACUUCAGAAUUGUAAAAGUUAUGUUGAUUUUAUCAUUUCAUUCUGACAGAACCUUGUGAUGAGGACAAGCAGGUUAACAUACAAGGAAACUGAUGCAUGCAGAGAUUAAAUACCUUGCUAAAUACCUUGCUCAAGAUCUCGAAGACAGUAAGUGAUGUAGUUACAAAUACAAUCCAGGUUUUCUCAAGCCCAUUCCAGUCUUCUCUGCUCUGCCCUGCUAUACCCCACCUCAUUGUCACCACUCGCUGUUGAUGUCUAUCUUAAAUUGCCCUUUACCAAUUCUCUGAAUAAUUUUCUGUGCCAAUAUUUUUUUCUUUUGUUUUUUUGAAAUGUUUUACAAUCUCACUAAGCAACGUGUUAUGUGAUUCAGAAGGUCUUAUCUUCAUAAGCUCAUCUAAUGUGGCUACCAGUAUUUGCCAAUCAGUUCCUUUGCUUUCCAUAUUGCUAAUGAUAGCUUUGCAUACCUCUUUCUUCCAGCAGCAGGAACAAAAGAGAAACCUGGCCAUUGCACCAGGAUAAGCAGUGUGAUACACAGAGAAGUCUGAGAGUGAAGAGACCUGAAUUCUUGUGUUGAUUCUGCCAUUACUUUGACAUGAAAUGUUGGACAAGGCAAUAUGCCACCACAGGCCUUACUUUUCUACUCUACAGGGAUUGCAAUGCUUUUUUGGACCUCAGAGGGUUGAGGUUAGCACAAAAUAUGUGAAGGAUUUGAAAAGAAUUAAACUCUAUAUUAAUGUAAAUAUUACCAAGUCUUUUUAGAAUCCCUGCUAGCAUAAAGUGUGUGUGUGUGUGGUGUGUGUUUGUGGUGGAAGCUGGGGGAGAGUAAAGAAACUUCUCAAUGGCUAUCCUGGAUCAAACAUAUUUGAAUUAUAUUUCUGUGUGUCUGUAAGCACACACGUUAUAAUUCUGUGCCUGUGGGAUGGAGAGUGUAGAUGGGAAUGCAGAAGGAUAUAAGAUACUACCUUACAUUUCAGGGACUUGAUGCCUUUGUAAUGUAUACAUAGACUCAAUUUUCUAAGCACUACUAUCUACCCAGUUAUGCAUAUUCUGGGCACAAAACCAGAUAGGAUUUCUCCAUUUCUGGUAUCUGCAGAAAAACAGAAAUAUCUAGAUUGAUAGUUGCUAUGGUUUGAACGUCCUCUCAUAAAUUCACGUUGAAAUCUAAUUGCCGUUGUGAUGGUAUUAAGAGAUGGGACCAUUAAGAGACAGUUAGACCAUGAGGUCCCAUCCUCACAAAUGUAUUAAUGACAUUAUUGUGAAAGUGGGUUGGUUAUUGUGGGGGUGGUUUCCCAGGUGAGUUUGGCCAACUCCCUCUGUCUGGUAUGCUUGCUUGCCCUUCCACCUUCUUCCAUAGGAUGGCUCAGCAUGAAGGUACUCCCCAGAUGCCAGUGCCAUGCUCUUGGAUUUCUCAGUCUCCAGAACCAUGAACCAAAUAAACUUCUGUUCAUUAUAAAUUACUCAGACUCAGGCAAUCUGUUAUAGAAGCAGAAAAUAGACUAAGGCAAUAAUUUAAUAUAGAACUCAGUGAAGAUAAAAAUAAAAUCAUCUACCAGUACACACUUAUCAGAAUGGCCAAAACCUAGAACAUUGACAACACCAAAUGCUGGCCAGAAUGUGGAGCAACAGGAGUUCUCAUUCAUUGCUGGUAGAAAUGAAAAAUGGUACAGCCACUUUGGGAGAAAGUUCAGUAGUUUCUUUCACAAAACGAAAUACAUCUUUACCAUAUGAUCCAAUAAUCAAAUUCCUUGGUAUUUACCCAAAGAAGUAGAAAACGUUCACACAAAAACCUGCACACAGAUGAUUAUAGCAGUUUUGUGUAUAAUUUCAAAAACUUGAGAACAACCAAGAUGUCCUUCAGUAAGUGAAUGGGAUAAACUAGUACAUCCAGACAAUGGAUUUACUAAUGAAAACUUUACAUUUCAAGUCAUGAAAAAACAUGGAGGAGCCUUGAAUGCAUAUUACAAAGUGAAA